rnacentral:rRNA from 1 species
AAACCGCUUAGGGGUUAAGCCCGAUGAACCUGAAUAUCUGAAAUGAGAAAUUCAAUACUUUUUUAGUUAUUUAUUCUUAAAUAAUCGAAGGUAUGCACUUUUCUCGUAGUAAGACAUUGCGAUCCAUUAGUAGUCUUUUUAGACGGUUUAUCAAACGGCCCGCUUAGUCAGUUUGUUCUACCUGUAAUACUUGUUAUUAUAUGGACAAUGCUAAUGCGGUGACCUGGUAAACAGCUGAUGGAGCUCAAGAUCAUGCAACCAUGCUAUAUGUAUCACGGUUUAUUUAUAUUUUAUAUAUUUGAAUGCAGUGAUCGCAUGUAUUUGAUUAGCAAUGCGAUAGAUUUGGGAUACCUUCGGGACCCGUCUUGAAACACGGACCAAGAAGUCUAACAUGUGUGUAAGUCAUUGGGUAUUUUGUUGAAACCUAAAGGCGAAAUUAAAAUAACUAUUUUAUUUGGGAUUACAAGCAAUUUUAUAUAAUUGUUUCUCCAUCCCGGGGCGUUCCAUACGAACAUGUUCUAAGCAAUUAGUUCCUCUGUUCAGGAGCGUACCUUGAACAUACAUGCUGUGACCCGAAAGAUGGUGAACUAUACCUGAUCAGGUUGAAGUCAGGGGAAACCCUGAUGGAGGACUGAAGCAGUUCUGACGUGCAAAUCGAUUGUCAGAAUUGGGUAUAGGGGCGAAAGACCAAUCGAACCAUCUAGUAGCUGGUUCCCUCCGAAGUUUCCCUCAGGAUAGCUGGUGCAAUGAGAAAUCUAAUAUAUAAUCUUAUCUGGUAAAGCGAAUGAUUAGAGGCCUUGGGGCCGAAACGACCUCAACCUAUUCUCAAACUUUAAAUGGGUAAGAACCUCAUCUUUCUUGAUCUGAAGAUAUAGGGGUUUAGAUAUAUUGUGCCCAGUGGGCCACUUUUGGUAAGCAGAACUGGCGCUGUGGGAUGAACCAAACGUGAUGUUACGGCGCCUAAAUUAAUGACUCAUAUUGAUACCAUGAAAGGCGUUGGUUGCUUAAAACAGCAGGACGGUGGACAUGGAAGUCGUAAUCCGCUAAGGAGUGUGUAACAACUCACCUGCCGAAGCAACUAGCCCUUAAAAUGGAUGGCGCUCAAGUCAUAUGCCUAUACAUCACCGCUAAAAUAGAAAAAUUUUAUCUUCGGAUAAAAUUUAUGAAAUUUUAGUGAGUAGGAGGGUACAAUGGUGUGCGCAGAAGUGUUUGGCGUGAGCCUGCAUGGAGCCGCCAUUGGCACAGAUCUUGGUGGUAGUAGCAAAUAAUCGAAUGAGAUCUUGGAGGACUGAAGUGGAGAAGGGUUUCGUGUGAACAGUGGUUGAUCACGAGUUAGUCGGUCCUAAGCUCUAUGCGAAAGCUGUUUAAUUUAUGUU